rnacentral:rRNA from 1 species
UGGGACUGAGACACGGCCCAGACUCCUACGGGAGGCAGCAGUGGGGAAUAUUGCACAAUGGGGGAAACCCUGAUGCAGCGACGCCGCGUGGAGGAAGAAGGUCUUCGGAUUGUAAACUCCUGUUGUUGAGGAAGAAAGACGGUACUCAACAAGGAAGUGACGGCUAACUACGUGCCAGCAGCCGCGGUAAAACGUAGGUCACAAGCGUUGUCCGGAAUUACUGGGUGUAAAGGGAGCGCAGGCGGGAGACAAGUUGGAAGUGAAAUCCAUGGGCUCAACCCAUGAACUGCUUUCAAAACUUUUUUCUUGAGUAGUGCAGAGGUAGGCGGAAUUCCCGGUGUAGCGGUGGAAUGCGUAGAUAUCGGGAGGAACACCAGUGGCGAAGGCGGCCUACUGGGCACCAACUGACGCUGAGGCUCGAAAGUGUGGGUAGCAAACAGGAUUAGAUACCCUGGUAGUCCACACCGUAAACGAUGAUUACUAG